CAGCCCUCCCUUGCUGCCUUACCUCUGCUUCCUGACUUUCCUCCAGGACAUGAGGGGGACAGGCCAGAGGCCUUGCCACUCCUCACUUAAAGACCAGGUCAAGCCCCAGUGGAUGGAGGGCCCUGCACCCCGCAGACAGCAUCCGGGUCCUCAGAACCACCCACAGUUCAGAAGCAGACCUGCAGGGUUUGCAAACCUGUAAGCAAGCUGCUACUGUACACUGGAAAGUAUCGGGAAUGAGAAAAUCAGGUUUGUUUUCCUCCUUGUGGCAAAAUUUCAAUGGCUCUGACUACUGCCCAUGGCAGUAUGGGGAGUGCUUGGUAUGCAGGACCUCACACAUUUUAACCCAAACGCUUCUUCAUCAGGCCACUGCUGAAGGCCACCAGCCUGUGCCUUUUCCUCACUUCAAGAGAAAUGCGGAGUUCCUUGCUGAAUGAAUGAGUGGAUCCAGCCUCGGGUGUUUCACCUUUGACCUUCUGUGUUCUCUGGAUUUACUAAUGCAAGAUGUUGCAAGCAUCUCAGAGUGACUUUCCUUGGUCUUGGUUUGUGCCUCGGGCCAGCCAGCACUGAAGAAUGCAGAGCAGCUGACGGAGACAAGCAUCUCUGUCUUUAAGGUGAUGGCAGGAGUCCCCGCUUGGUAUUUCUCCUCCCUCUGUGCAUGAGGUGUCCAAGGUGACACAUGCCAGCUGAAGGCGCAACAGAAGGAGGAUGACUGAGGACCUCGCAGAGGGUGUUCUUGAGCAAAUAGGGGGAAGGUGGCUUGCUCAGCUCAGAGGAGCAGAGGCGGUUGUGUGAACGUGGGAGGGACGUCUGGUCUCCGGGUCUGCAGUGGCCCCCGGCAAGCCGAGCGGGCAGGGCGCUCACACUCUACCGGUGUGGCCUUCAGCUAUUACAAAACCAGGCCACUGCCUGUGCCUAGCUAGGAGGAGGCUGGGCCGGUGACUCAUCCCUACUCACGGAGAAUCUGCAAUGCUCCAGCUGUCCCAAGCCUCCGUCUCCCACGUGCUGAGCCUUCUGUAUCAGGACAGUCUCAGAGCUCAGGUAUCGAGAGGAAAGAACGGGGUGCCAGUGAGGAGGAGACUCCCCAGCACUGGCUCUUCCCCUCUCCCCUCCCACCCCCCACCUCUCUUGCCCCAACCACCAACUUUUACUUUCUUGAAAUGACCAGGCUAUCUGUCACCCCCUGGAAGCAGCUCAGCCACAGAGCUCUGCCUUUGGACUGAAUGAUAAGAAAUCAAGGUGACUGGACAGGCCAGCUGCCUGCCUGGCCUCCUGGAGCUGGGGCCAGGAAUCUGUAUCAAUGGAGAACAAUGGAGAGGGCACCUAGUUAUUCCUCACAUGGUCACGGCAGACUCAGUCCAGGGAUCAGUGCUCCCUGGGGGCUGUGUUCAUCCAUGGACAGCCCAGUUCUGUCCCCCAUGCCCCAAGAUCUGGGGUGCUGUACUUGGGCUCCUGGAGAGAAAUCUUUUCUGGUGCUGGUCUACCUUGUAUCCUAGAUUGCUGCAGCCCCUGCCUGUUUAAUGGGCAGGAAGCCUGAUGAAUGUCACGAAGCCUGCAAAGGUCACCGCCAUGAUGGAGGUGUUGUUACCCACUGUGGCAGCAGAACUGGGAUCCACCAGGCUGUCCAUGUGCUGGGCUGACCCCCCAAGCCCAGCAUAUUCCUAUGGGCAUCUCCCAUUCAACCAGCCUUUUAGAGGAAAUGAAUGCACUCAGACCGCCAUCUCUCACUUCCCCGGCUUCUCGCUCACCGACAAUGGAAUGAUGGAAUUACUAACUCCCCCGCCACAGACAAAUCCUCCAAGCUGUCAGCAGGACCUCUCAGGGCCAAAGCCCUCUGAUCCUGGCUCUAUCCCUAAGGCCUGCUGGUCUUGUGACCUUGUCAACUGAGCAGCCAACUGUGGCCAAAGCUUCCUGCACUUCCCAGCAAGGCCCGUGGCCACCCAGGUCCCUGGAUCUCUGGAGGUCCAGCUAGACUAGACUCUGACUGAGGACGAGCUGUGCCCUUGGCUCAGUGGCCUCUGGGAAAUCCACACUUUUCACUGGGCUACAGGAGCUGCAGGAACCUGCCUGUCUCUGGAUUCUGCCCAGCGCCUGGCACUCUGAAGUUCUGCCUGGACUCCUCCAGCCCUAGUCGAAGCCUGUGUGAGCCGACAUCGGCUGGCCGGCCCAGCCUCACCUGGGCUCCCUGUUUGGCUUGGCCUUUGUCAAGGAGGCAGGGAGCCUAAGGAACUGGAGUUAAGCAAGAGCUUCCCCAGGGCACAUUCCUGCCCAGAGUUUUGUGUCUGGGUUCUCAGGCAAGGAUGGGUGGCUCCAGCCCUGUUCCUGCAGAUCCUUGAUGGCAGCGGCAUGCCACUCACAGGUUCUCCAUCUUGCCUGGUGCUCCUCCUGGAGGGAGGAGCAAGCGCACAUGGGCUGUGCCACAAACACUUCCACAGCCUGAUUCUCAGAAGGCACUGCAGCCCCUGGGUCCCUGCGGUGGGGGGCGGGGUCCUCUGAGCCCAAUGGACUUGGCCAGGCGUUCUUUUGCUGGCCACGAACAAGUGCUCCACAUGAGUGUGGUCUAAGUUUCAGAGAGGCCGGACGCAGCCGAAUGUUUGAGGCUGGGGCUUAUAACAUCAGACGGAGCCUUCUGGGUCGGGGUGGCAGCUCCGCCCAGCUUCACCCUGUCCUCAGAUCACCUUGUGUCCCAGAGGGUGGCAUCCGGUUAUUUUUGCUUGCAAGUUAGAGACAGGCGUGACGGACAGCCCCAGUCGCUCCCCUUCUCUUAAGCACACCAAACAGCCCAGGCCGCAGCAAGCGGCUAUUAAGGGAUCUACGAGCCAGGAGGCGGUAAGCUGCACACGGCCACUCCGGCUCCCUCUUCUACCUGAGGUCCCAGCACCUGGCAGGGACCACCACGGGGACUUGCCGGGGACAAGCCUGGUUAAACCGGCCCCAGUGUAAUUAUGGGACUCCCCUGGUUGCCUUCAAAAGUGGGAGCUGGCCGGCGACGUACCUGCAGAGGACCUCACACGCAUCCUGGCUCUGUUCUUGCCAGCGUGCCCAGCGUGGUGCGGCCGGAGAAACUGGGCUGGGAAGGGAAGCGGCCCGUCCGCGCUCACGCAGUGAGUCAGCCACAGAGCCGUUUAAGGGAACCCGGGAGCUCUGACUCAUGCGCUGCUCAUCCUGACACUGCCCUACUGAGGGGAGUAAGAAGGACAGGAUGGGUCAGUGGACGGCAUGUGGGGUCAAUGUGUGAGUGAGGCUGUGGGGAGGAGAAGGGGGACAGAAACCACCAGAAGGCCCAAAGCCUCCUUGGCACCUGGGCCAGCACCAGAGGCCUUCAGACUUACACAGGCAGGCGAUGGCACUGCAGCCUGCGGUCGCCUGGCAGCGUGGGUCGGGCGAGUGGAGAGUAGCAGGGCCACAGGGAGACAGGAAGCAGGAAGCAGGACCAUCCGGGUCGCUGCAGGGAGAGGCAGGUGGCGGAGGGUCCUCCGGGCACCUGGGCAGGGCACCCCGGCCACCUCCAACUCCACCUUAUUUAUCCAGUUCCACACACACCUGACUUUUCACUGUGCCUGGGGAUCGACUUCUAAGACGAGAAAGCUAAACAAAAUCAUUGUGACAUGAGCGCCAUCACCCCAGUUACAGACCUGCAAACGGAGGCGCAGAGGCGCAGCCGCGUGUCCCAGGCCACAGUGCUGGCGAAGUUGAUUUUUACAACAUCCCACUCCAUUAGUUUGCUGGGCUCCCACAACAGUACCACAGACUGAGGGGCUCAGCCAGCAGAAGCGUGUGGUAGGAGUGACGAUGGAGUUUGUGACCCAAGGCUUUGUGCCUACCUCGAGCGUUGCGCCAAGAGUGAACGGAGGCUUUGGAAAGUGGGGUGGAAUCCAGCUAGGAAGUCCUUAUGAAUUCCAGCAAAGGUUCAAAGGACUUUAAAUACAAACUGUCCUUGUUACGUUUGAGGAAACAGUCACGGCGGUCAGAGUUUUUAGCUGGGUAGUCUGGUCUUGCGUUUGAAUGGACUCUGACCAUGAAGGUGGCCACUGCUGGGCCCCCCAGGGCUGGGACUGUGAGCCACCUCUGGUGCCUCUUGAACAUUCCCCUCCCCAAAGGCCUAGGUCUGAGAGGCUUAGGCCCCACAAAGUGCUAUUGGGAGCUGACUGGACCCUUAAAAGGUGUGGGUCUAUCAGGGGGUCUUUAGGUCACUGGGGUGCCCUUGAAGGGGAUGGUGGGACCCCAGUCCCUGCUUCUUCCUCUCGCUUCCUGGCUUUGAGCAGCUUGUCAACUCUGUAUUCCACCAAG